rnacentral:rRNA from 1 species
AGCAGCCGCGGUAAUUCCAGCUCCAAUAGCGUAUAUUAAAGUUGUUGCAGUUAAAAAGCUCGUAGUUGAACCUCGGGGUCUACCCAUUGGUCAGGCUUAAUUGUUUGCACUGGUGAGAUGGAUCUCUACCUUCUGAGGAACUUUCAUGCCAUUUAUUUGGUGUGAUGGGAAAUCAGGACUGUUACUUUGAAAAAAUUAGAGUGUUUAAAGCAGACUAUCGUCUGAAUACAUUAGCAUGGAAUAAUGAAAUAGGACGGACUGAUUCUAUUUCGUUGGUUUCUAGGAUCACCGUAAUGAUUAAUAGGGAUAGUUGGGGGCAUUAGUAUUCAAUUGUCAGAGGUGAAAUUCUUGGAUUUAUUGAAGACUAACUACUGCGAAAGCAUUUGCCAAGGAUGUUUUCAUUAAUCAAGACGAAAGUUAGGGGAUCGAAGACGAUCAGAUACCGUCGUAGUCUUAACCAUAAACUAUGCCGACUAGGGAUCGGAUGAUGUUAAUUUUUUAAUGACUC